UACGUAGGUGGCGAGCGUUGUCCGGAUUUACUGGGCGUAAAGGGAGCGUAGGCGGACUUUUAAGUGAGAUGUGAAAUACUCGGGCUCAACUUGAGUGCUGCAUUUCAAACUGGAAGUCUAGAGUGCAGGAGAGGAGAAUGGAAUUCCUAGUGUAGCGGUGAAAUGCGUAGAGAUUAGGAAGAACACCAGUGGCGAAGGCGAUUCUCUGGACUGUGACUGACGCUGAGGCUCGAAGGCGUGGGGAGCAAACAGG
rnacentral:rRNA from 1 species